rnacentral:rRNA from 1 species
CCUACGGGUGGCAGCAGUGGGGAAUAUUGGACAAUGGGGGCAACCCUGAUCCAGCCAUGCCGCGUGUGUGAAGAAGGCCCUCGGGUUGUAAAGCACUUUCAGUGAGGAAGAACGCCUGGUGGUUAAUACCCGUCAGGAAAGACAUCACUCACAGAAGAAGCACCGGCUAACUCCGUGCCAGCAGCCGCGGUAAUACGGAGGGUGCGAGCGUUAAUCGCAAUUACUGGGCGUAAAGCGCGCGUAGGUGGCUUGAUAAGCCGGUUGUGAAAGCCCCGGGCUCAACCUGCGAACGGCAUCCGGAACUGUCAAGCUAGAGUGCAGGAGAGGAAGGUAGAAUUCCCGGUGUAGCGGUGAAAUGCGUAGAGAUCGGGAGGAAUACCAGUGGCGAAGGCGGCCUUCUGGACUGACACUGACACUGAGGUGCGAAAGCGUGGGUAGCAAACAGGAUUAGAUACCCUGGUAGUC